rnacentral:rRNA from 1 species
AACGAACGCUGGCGGCGUGGAUAAGACAUGCAAGUCGAACGAGAGAAUUGCUAGCUUGCUAAUAAUUCUCUAGUGGCGCACGGGUGAGUAACACGUGAGUAACCUGCCCCCGAGAGCGGGAUAGCCCUGGGAAACUGGGAUUAAUACCGCAUAGUAUCGAAAGAUUAAAGCAGCAAUGCGCUUGGGGAUGGGCUCGCGGCCUAUUAGUUAGUUGGUGAGGUAACGGCUCACCAAGGCGAUGACGGGUAGCCGGUCUGAGAGGAUGUCCGGCCACACUGGAACUGAGACACGGUCCAGACACCUACGGGUGGCAGCAGUCGAGAAUCAUUCACAAUGGGGGAAACCCUGAUGGUGCGACGCCGCGUGGGGGAAUGAAGGUCUUCGGAUUGUAAACCCCUGUCAUGUGGGAGCAAAUUAAAAAGAUAGUACCACAAGAGGAAGAGACGGCUAACUCUGUGCCAGCAGCCGCGGUAAUACAGAGGUCUCAAGCGUUGUUCGGAAUCACUGGGCGUAAAGCGUACGUAGGCUGUUUCGUAAGUCGUGUGUGAAAGGCGCGGGCUCAACCCGCGGACGGCACAUGAUACUGCGAGACUAGAGUAAUGGAGGGGGAACCGGAAUUCUCUGUGUAGCAGUGAAAUGCGUAGAUAUCGAGAGGAACACUCGUGGCGAAGGCGGGUUCCUGGACAUUAACUGACGCUGAGGCACGAAGGCCAGGGGAGCGAAAAAGAUUAGAUACCCC